rnacentral:rRNA from 1 species
UGGCGGCAGGCUUAACACAUGCAAGUCGAGCGGGGAAGGGUAGCUUGCUACCUGACCUAGCGGCGGACGGGUGAGUAAUGCUUAGGAAUCUGCCUAUUAGUGGGGGACAACAUUCCGAAAGGAAUGCUAAUACCGCAUACGCCCUACGGGGGAAAGCAGGGGAUCUUCGGACCUUGCGCUAAUAGAUGAGCCUAAGUCAGAUUAGCUAGUUGGUGGGGUAAAGGCCUACCAAGGCGACGAUCUGUAGCGGGUCUGAGAGGAUGAUCCGCCACACUGGGACUGAGACACGGCCCAGACUCCUACGGGAGGCAGCAGUGGGGAAUAUUGGACAAUGGGCGAAAGCCUGAUCCAGCCAUGCCGCGUGUGUGAAGAAGGCCUUUUGGUUGUAAAGCACUUUAAGCGAGGAGGAGGCUACUUGGAUUAAUACUCUAGGAUAGUGGACGUUACUCGCAGAAUAAGCACCGGCUAACUCUGUGCCAG